rnacentral:tRNA from 1 species
GUGGUGGCUCAGUGGAAGAGCACUUGCCUAGCAUGUGGGAGGCACUGGGUUCGAUUCUCAGCACCACA